ensembl:lncRNA novel transcript
CUAUUUCAUGGUUAUUGAGAACAUGGGAUCUGUCCUCAGACCGUCCAGACUCAAAUUGCAGCCUCCUCUUAGUGUGUGGCUCUGGACAAGUGACCUAACCCUUGUAAACUUCAGUUUCUGAAUCUGAAAUGGGGAUGACAGCAGUACUGAAAUCACAGGGUUGUUUCUGGGAUGAAAUGUGGUAGUUACCUGUAAAGGACUUAGUACAGGGCACAUGACAGUGAUCAUAACGAUAACAUUAGCUGCUGCUUACUGAGUGCCUCAUAUGCGCCAAGCAAGUGUGAGCACGUGAAGUUCUCACAGCAGAACUGUGCAGUCUGCAGCUCAGCAUUUCUUUGUUGUUUUUUUGUUUUUUGUUUUUUGAGACAGAGUCUCGCUCCGUCGCCCAGGCUGCAGUGCAGUGGUGCGAUCUCGGCUCGCUGCAAACUCCACCUCCCAGGAGAAUCACUUGAACCUGGGAUGUAGAAGUUGCAGUGAGCCGAGAUCGUGCCACUGCACUCCAGCGUGGGCGUCCGAAUGAGACUCUGUCACAAAAAAAAGAACUUUAUUCUCGGAUCCAAACACUGGAAACCUAGGAUUCCGUGUC